UUCGGGGGACAGGGUGACAGGUGGUGCAUGGUUGUCGUCAGCUCGUGUCGUGAGAUGUUGGGUUAAGUCCCGCAACGAGCGCAGCCCUCGACCUUAGUUGCCAGCAUUCAGUUGGGCACUCUAAGGUGACUGCCGGCUAAAAGUCGGAGGAAGGUGGGGAUGACGUCAAAUCAUCAUGCCCCUUAUGACCUGGGCUACACACGUGCUACAAUGGGCGGUACAAAGGGUCGCGAACCCGCGAGGGGGAGCCAAUCCCAAAAAGCCGCUCUCAGUUCGGAUUGCAGGCUGCAACUCGCCUGCAUGAAGCCGGAAUCGCUAGUAAUCGCGGAUCAGCAUGCCGCGGUGAAUACGUUCCCGGGCCUU
rnacentral:rRNA from 1 species